UUAAAUUGAAGAGUUUGAUCAUGGCUCAGAUUGAACGCUGGCGGCAGGCCUAACACAUGCAAGUCGAACGGUAACAGGAAGCAGCUUGCUGCUUUGCUGACGAGUGGCGGACGGGUGAGUAAUGUCUGGGAAACUGCCCGAUGGAGGGGGAUAACUACUGGAAACGGUAGCUAAUACCGCAUAACGUCGCAAGACCAAAGAGGGGGACCUUAGGGCCUUUUGCCAUCGGAUGUGCCCAGAUGGGAUUAGCUAGUAGGUGGGGUAACGGCUCACCUAGGCGACGAUCCCUAGCUGGUCUGAGAGGAUGACCAGCCACACUGGAACUGAGACACGGUCCAGACUCCUACGGGAGGCAGCAGUGGGGAAUAUUGCACAAUGGGCGCAAGCCUGAUGCAGCCAUGCCGCGUGUAUGAAGAAGGCCUUCGGGUUGUAAAGUACUUUCAGCGGGGAGGAAGGGAGUAAAGUUAAUACCUUUGCUCAUUGACGUUACCCGCAGAAGAAGCACCGGCUAACUCCGUGCCAGCAGCCGCGGUAAUACGGAGGGUGCAAGCGUUAAUCGGAAUUACUGGGCGUAAAGCGCACGCAGGCGGUUUGUUAAGUCAGAUGUGAAAUCCCCGGGCUCAACCUGGGAACUGCAUCUGAUACUGGCAAGCUUGAGUCUCGUAGAGGGGGGUAGAAUUCCAGGUGUAGCGGUGAAAUGCGUAGAGAUCUGGAGGAAUACCGGUGGCGAAGGCGGCCCCCUGGACGAAGACUGACGCUCAGGUGCGAAAGCGUGGGGAGCAAACAGGAUUAGAUACCCUGGUAGUCCACGCCGUAAACGAUGUCGACUUGGAGGUUGUGCCCUUGAGGCGUGGCUUCCGGAGCUAACGCGUUAAGUCGACCGCCUGGGGAGUACGGCCGCAAGGUUAAAACUCAAAUGAAUUGACGGGGGCCCGCACAAGCGGUGGAGCAUGUGGUUUAAUUCGAUGCAACGCGAAGAACCUUACCUGGUCUUGACAUCCACGGAAGUUUUCAGAGAUGAGAAUGUGCCUUCGGGAACCGUGAGACAGGUGCUGCAUGGCUGUCGUCAGCUCGUGUUGUGAAAUGUUGGGUUAAGUCCCGCAACGAGCGCAACCCUUAUCCUUUGUUGCCAGCGGUCCGGCCGGGAACUCAAAGGAGACUGCCAGUGAUAAACUGGAGGAAGGUGGGGAUGACGUCAAGUCAUCAUGGCCCUUACGACCAGGGCUACACACGUGCUACAAUGGCGCAUACAAAGAGAAGCGACCUCGCGAGAGCAAGCGGACCUCAUAAAGUGCGUCGUAGUCCGGAUUGGAGUCUGCAACUCGACUCCAUGAAGUCGGAAUCGCUAGUAAUCGUGGAUCAGAAUGCCACGGUGAAUACGUUCCCGGGCCUUGUACACACCGCCCGUCACACCAUGGGAGUGGGUUGCAAAAGAAGUAGGUAGCUUAACCUUCGGGAGGGCGCUUACCACUUUGUGAUUCAUGACUGGGGUGAAGUCGUAACAAGGUAACCGUAGGGGAACCUGCGGUUGGAUCACCUCCUUACCUUAAAGAAGC
rnacentral:rRNA from 1 species